rnacentral:snoRNA from 1 species
AUCCUUUUGUAGUUCAUAAGCGUGAUGAUUGGGUCUUCACGCGCAUGCGUGAGAUGUGCCUCCCUCAAACCUUGUUACGACAUCGGCACAUUACCCGUCUGACG